rnacentral:rRNA from 1 species
AGUGAACGCUGGCGGCAGGCCUAACACAUGCAAGUCGAACGGUAGCACACUAAGUGCUUGGUCUUAUGGUUGGCGAGUGGCGGGUGGGUGAGGAAUACACCGGAAUCUACUUUUUCGUGGGGGAUAGCGAAGGGAAACUAAAGCUAAUACCGGAUACGACCUCCGGGUGAAAGCUGGGGAGCUUCAGACCUUUCGCGUUUGAAUGAGCCGAUGUCGGAUUAGCUAGUUGGCGGGGUAAAGGCCCACCACGGCGACGAUCCGUAGCUGGUCUGAGAGGAUGAUCGCCGGCACGAGAGGGUGAACACGGUCAAUGGGACUGAGGGAGGCACCAGAGGCGAAUGGUAGACAGUGGUGGCAAGCCUGAUCCAGCGAUACCGAGUGUGUGACGAAGGCGUCGCGGUUGGAAAGCCCGUUUGUUGGGAGAGAAAAGCAGCCGGUUAAUAAGACGCGAUACUGACGGUACCCAAAGAAGAAGCACCGGCUAACUACGUG